rnacentral:rRNA from 1 species
GGGGAAUAUUGCACAAUGGGCGAAAGCCUGAUGCAGCAACGCCGCGUGAGUGAUGAAGGUCUUCGGAUUGUAAAGCUCUGUCUUUUGGGACGAUAAUGACGGUACCAAAGGAGGAAGCCACGGCUAACUACGUGCCAGCAGCCGCGGUAAUACGUAGGUGGCAAGCGUUGUCCGGAUUUACUGGGCGUAAAGGGUGCGUAGGCGGAUGUUUAAGUGAGAUGUGAAAAACCCGGGCUUAACUUGGGUGCUGCAUUUCAAACUGGAUAUCUAGAGUGCAGGAGAGGAGAAUGGAAUUCCUAGUGUAGCGGUGAAAUGCGUAGAGAUUAGGAAGAACACCAGUGGCGAAGGCGAUUCUCUGGACUGUAACUGACGCUGAGGCACGAAAGCGUGGGUAGCAAAC